GCUAAGCUAGUUUAAUAAAAAUGUUUUUUUGUGGGGAAAGAGAUAGCGGUUUCCGCUGGUUAGUU
rnacentral:tRNA from 1 species